rnacentral:tRNA from 1 species
UCCCGUGUGGCUCAGUUGGUAGAGCAUGGCACUUGCAAUGCUAUGGUUAUGGGUUCGAUUCCCACAGGGGAC